GGGAUGGAUGGAAAUCCAAAAGGCAGGAAAGAGAAAACCUAGGGGAGGCUGCCUGGGAGCAGCCCGCCUGCCUAUAUCUUUUGUGCAGCAGCUUCAGGGGAGCUGUGGCCAAGGUCUGUGAGGAUGGAGCCAGAACUAUGAAGCCAGGCAGUCCUGGGUUACCCCCAUACUCUCUGUGUCACUUUUCCUCAUCAGUGCAAUGGCUAGCUUAUUGCUAUUGAUGUUUCUGUCUGAAUUUUGCUUCUGGACCGCUUUGCAGGGCCAGGAAGUCUCCCCCUAGCGGUCUCUCUUAAUAGGACAGAGCCUUGAGGAUGCUGCCUGGAACCCAGCCUUCCAGACCCCUGCUUUCCAGACAGCUAAGCAGAACCAGCCUCUGUGUUUUCUCACCUCUUUACCCUGCUUCUGUGAUUUGACCUUGCCUGGCCCUGAGCAGAGAAAGGGGACAGGAAGAGGGCGAGUUAUCUACCCCUUCCCGAGCGCUUGCAUACUGUGAUGGGUGGCUGACCUUCGAGUCUCACCCGAGAUGAGACAUUCACCACCCUGCAAGGUGGGUCAAUUACUUCUGCAUCGCUGCUGGGAAGGCUGAGACACGGAGGUACAGCCACUGGCCCAAGGACAUUCAGCUGGCUGGGGGCUCAGCUGAGUGCCACAUCUGAAGAUCCUGACUUUUAGAUACAAACUGGAGACGUUGCUUUCGCUUCCUUUCCAGCCUUGAUUUGGAUCCUCAGCUCUGUCCAUGCCCCAGGCAUCUUGGGGCUGCUGCUGACCUUCCAUUCAGGAGCACAGUGAGUUCAAUCCUACUGCCCCCAAAGCACUUAGUCUGGUUCCAGCAUCUGAUGCAGAGAUGCAAAUGGUCCCAUCCACCACUCCUGUACAUAGGGAUGCACACUAUGAGGUUAGGAUGCCCCAAGCUAUGCUGCUGGCUCAUGGAAGGUUCGAGAGGAGCUCUGAGAUAGAACCAUGACCUCAGCCUGCAGAGGUGGGGAAGGAGGGUGGGGGAGCUGCGUAGAAAAUGUGACUCAUUCAUCCCUGAAGGCCUCAGCAGGGAUGAGAAUCCCUACUUCAGAAGAAUUCGCACCUGCUCCCUCCAGCCAACCCCAUGUUAGGCCCUGAGAGACGGGCCCCUGAAGCAAUGCCAGUGAAUUUAGUUUUGAAGGCUGUAAGUCUCCUGUUGGCAUCAGCCACAAUUGAUUGUCAAGUCCACUGAGCAUUCUUGAUCUGAGCCCUAGGCUCAUGGUUCUUAAACUUUGUGGGCAUUCCAUCCCAACACAGGACACAGGAUCCAGAACACAGGAGCCCAGGCUUGCUGAAGCAGGACCGGGCCUGACCUCUGAUUUUUACCAGGUCCCCCAGGUAAUUCUGGUAAGGCCAGAGUUGGAGAGCCACUGACUUGGUGCCUUGCUACUCAAGGUGUGGUCCAUGGACCAGCAGCAUCAGCCACCUGGGAGCUUUGCAGACUCUGGACUUUGCAGAGUCUAGUCCCAUCUCAGACUUACUAAAUCAGUUUGAGAAGAUGCCUAGGAGAUCUGUGUGCACAUAAAGGAAAUUUUGAGAAGCCUGACAUAGCCGAUAGAUGAGUAAAUGCUUAGUGGAUUAUCAAGUAUUAAGCUCUGCUUGCUAGAAAUGAGUGUGUACUCUCAUUUCACCCUCAUGAACACCCUGCAAGGGAGGUGCCUUCUCCCCAGUUUACAGAAAAUUACACUGAGGCUCAGAGAGGUGGGUGACUUCUGAAGCCACACGUUCAUAGGUGAGGGAGUUGGGGUUGGAACCCCGGGCUCAUCCUCACGGCGGCCCUGUCCUCCUCACACGGGGAUAUGAACAGCAAUGACUUCAGAUGCGAACAGUUUAAAUAACUUUGAUUCAACUUACCACGGCAGGACAUGGACCAGAAAUUUACACAGAUGUUGAUCCACCAGGAUUGAAACAAGAGAAGGUUUCUAGCCAAUGCUAAUGUCCAACUCAGCAAGACCCAACCCCCACCCCCGCACUAUUUCCCAGUGCCUCAAACUUUCCACUGAGAGUCCCUGUAAAGGAUUAGUAGCAGGCUUACCGUGUUCAUCCAGCAGGAUAUUGUCUGGCUUGAUGUCUCUGUAAAAGAAAACAAAGAAGCUGGCAAUGUGGUUCCUGAGCCCACAGAUGAGCACAUAGACAAGCACCACAUCAGGACAAAUGCUGGAACACCCAGGCUGCUCACCUCUCCCUGACCUGAAGCCUCAGACAUGGAGUGGGAGAAUAAUUGCACAGAGUGGAAUCUCAAGCAUUUACGGGGGUGUCCCCUUUGCGGUCAUGAAGGACACGUCGUGAACAAGACAGACCCAACUGAAUGGAGCUUGCAUUCUAGGAAGAGAGGCACACCAGAAGGCACAUGAAUCAAUGGCAGGAUUACUGGAGUGAGAGCUCAAGACAUGAGCUGCUGUGUGGAGCCAGCCACACGGUGGGGAAUGUAGCUGUCCCUGGGAGGAAGAGUGACCGCUGGCCUAUAUGUAGCAAGAAAACGGGACCCCAGUCCUGCAGCCAUAAGAGCUGAAAUCUGCCAACAACCACAAGAGCCUGGGAGAGAACCCCACCCCAUGUUCCAGAAAGGAGUGCAGCCCGGUGGGCAUGUGGAUUGUAGUUUUGUGAGAUCCUAUGCAGAUGAUCCAGUUAAGCCCACCUGGACUCCUGGGCCACGGAAAUGGAGGGAAAAUAAAUGUGAGUUAUUUUAAGUUGUUAAGUUAGUGGUAAUUAGUUUCACAACAAUAGAAAACUAAUUCUCUAGCUAUAUGAUCUUGGGCCACUUACUCUCAGCCUUGUUUUCCUCAUUUGGGAAAUGGGAACAGCAACAGCCAUCUCACUGUUGCUGAGUGUACAAUGAGAUGACAUUUGUUCAGCACUUCAC
rnacentral:lncRNA from 1 species